UUGAACGCUGGCGGCAGGCCUAACACAUGCAAGUCGAACGGUAACAGGAAGAAGCUUGCUUCUUUGCUGACGAGUGGCGGACGGGUGAGUAAUGUCUGGGAAACUGCCUGAUGGAGGGGGAUAACUACUGGAAACGGUAGCUAAUACCGCAUAACGUCGCAAGACCAAAGAGGGGGACCUUCGGGCCUCUUGCCAUCGGAUGUGCCCAGAUGGGAUUAGCUAGUAGGUGGGGUAACGGCUCACCUAGGCGACGAUCCCUAGCUGGUCUGAGGGGAUGACCAGCCACACUGGAACUGAGACACGGUCCAGACUCCUACGGGAGGCAGCAGUGGGGAAUAUUGCACAAUGGGCGCAAGCCUGAUGCAGCCAUGCCGCGUGUAUGAAGAAGGCCUUCGGGUUGUAAAGUACUUUCAGCGGGGAGGAAGGGAGUAAAGUUAAUACCUUUGCUCAUUGACGUUACCCGCAGAAGAAGCACCGGCUAACUCCGUG
rnacentral:rRNA from 1 species